rnacentral:tRNA from 2 species
CGCGGGGUGGAGCAGCCUUGGUAGCUCGUCGGGCUCAUAACCCGAAGGUCGUCGGUUCAAAUCCGGCCCCCGCAACCA